AUUGAACGCUGGCGGCAGGCCUAACACAUGCAAGUCGAACGAGUGGCGGACGGGUGAGUAAUGUCUGGGAAACUGCCCGAUGGAGGGGGAUAACUACUGGAAACGGUAGCUAAUACCGCAUACCAUCGGAUGUGCCCAGAUGGGAUUAGCUUGUAGGUGAGGUAACGGCUCACCUAGGCGACGAUCCAUAGCUGGUCUGAGAGGAUGACCAGCAACACGGGAACGUAGACACGGUCCUGACUACUACGGGAGGCAGCAGUGGGGAAUAUGGCACAAGGGGCGCAAGCCUGAUGAAACCAUGCAGCGGGUAUAAAGAAGGCAGUCGGGUUGUAAAGUACUUUCAGCGGGGAGGCGUUACCCGCAGAAGAAGCACCGGCUAACUCCGGUCCAGCAGCCGCGGUAAGAC
rnacentral:rRNA from 1 species